rnacentral:misc_RNA from 1 species
AGGCACUAUCUCCCAAUUCUUCAAGGUAGUGACUAUAGUUUCUAAUUUUGAGUACAGUGCAGCUGCUGUUCUUAAUGUUUCCAACUUCUUUGUGGGAAAACCUUCAAACUUUGCUAGCACCUGCAACUUAGAGACUUGAUGAUUGAUCUUCUUGACUAAGAAAUGAAAUUAUUAAUGUUAACAACUAUGGUUAGUGAUGGAGCAAAUUGAAGAAGCCGCACUCCACUGACCUGAGAUUCAUCAGUUAAGACCCCAAGGAUGAAUUCAAAGCUGUUUCGAAACUUCAGUAGCUUUACCAUGUCAUUUGUUUGAAAAGAAUUGAUGGCUACCUUUAACUCAA